CCGGCGACCGGCGCACGGGUGAGUAACACGUAUGCAACCUGCCCUCUUCAGGGGGACAACCUUCCGAAAGGGAGGCUAAUCCCGCGUAUAUCGGUUUCGGGCAUCCGAGAUCGAGGAAAGAUUCAUCGGAAGAGGAUGGGCAUGCGGCGCAUUAGGAAGACGGCGGUGUGACGGACCACCGUUCCGACGAUGCGUAGGGGUUCUGAGAGGAAGGCCCCCCACACUGGUACUGAGACACGGACCAGACUCCUACGGAAGGCAGCAG
rnacentral:rRNA from 1 species